CGAACGGGAUCCUUCGGGAUUUAGUGGCGGACGGGUGAGUAACGCGUGAGAAUCUGCCCUUAGGUUGGGGACAACAGUUGGAAACGACUGCUAAUACCCAAUGUGCCGAGAGGUGAAAGGUUAACUGCCUGGGGAUGAGCUCGCGUCUGAUUAGCUAGUUGGAGUGGUAACGGCACACCAAGGCGACGAUCAGUAGCUGGUCUGAGAGGAUGAUCAGCCACACUGGGACUGAGACACGGCCCAGACUCCUACGGGAGGCAGCAGUGGGGAAUUUUCCGCAAUGGGCGAAAGCCUGACGGAGCAAGACCGCGUGAGGGAGGAAGGCCUAUUGGUUGUAAACCUCUUUUGAUAGGGAAGAACACAAUGACGGUACCUAUCGAAUCAGCAUCGGCUAACUCCGUGCCAGCAGCCGCGGUAAUACGGAGGAUGCAAGCGUUAUCCGGAUUUAUUGGGCGUAAAGCGUCCGUAGGUGGCAAACCAAGUCAGUUGUUAAAGCGUAGAGCUUAACUCUAUAAGGGCAAUUGAAACUGGUUAGCUAGAGUGCGAUAGGGGCAAGGGGAAUUCCCAGUGUAGCGGUGAAACGCGUAGAUAUUGGGAAGAACAUCGGUGGCGAAGGCGCCUUGCUGGGUCUGCACUGACACUGAGGGACGAAAGCUAGGGGAGCGAAAGGGAUUAGAUACCCCUGUAGUCCUAGCCGUAAACGAUGGAUACUAGGCGUUGUCCGUA
rnacentral:rRNA from 1 species